UACGUAGGGGGCAAGCGUUGUCCGGAUUUAUUGGGCGUAAAGCGCGUGUAGGUGGCCAAGUAGGUCCGCUGUGAAAACUUGAGGCUCAACCUCAAGCUGUCGGUGGAAACCCCUUGGCUAGCAGUCCGGAAGAGGAGAGUGGAAAUUCCUGGUGUAGCGGUGAAAUGCGCAGAUAUCAGGAAGAACACCAAUGGCGAAGGCAGCUCUCUGGGACGGUACUGACACUGAGACGCGAAAGCGUGGGGAGCGAACAGG
rnacentral:rRNA from 1 species